rnacentral:rRNA from 1 species
GCUUCGACGGGUAGCUGGUCUGAGAGGACGAUCAGCCACACUGGGACUGAGACACGGCCCAGACUCCUACGGGAGGCAGCAGUGGGGAAUCUUGCACAAUGGGCGAAAGCCUGAUGCAGCAACGCCGCGUGAGGGACGAAGGCUUUCUGAGUUGUAAACCUCUUUCAGCAGGGACGAUUGUGACGGUACCUGCAGAAGAAGCCCCGGCCAACUACGUGCCAGCAGCCGCGGUAAUACGUAGGGGGCAAGCGUUGUCCGGAUUUAUUGGGCGUAAAGAGCUCGUAGGCGGCUUGGCAAGUCGAAUGUGAAACCUCCAGGCUCAACCUGGAGAUGCCAUUUGAUACUGCCAUGGCUAGAGUUUGGUAGGGGACCACGGAAUUCCUGGUGUAGCGGUGAAAUGCGCAGAUAUCAGGAGGAACACCAGCGGCGAAGGCGGUGGUCUGGGCCAAUACUGACGCUGAGGAGCGAAAGCGUGGGGAGCGAACAGGAUUAGAUACCCUGGUAGUCCACGCCGUAAACGUUGGGCACUAGGUGUGGGGACCUAUCGACGGUUUCUGUGCCGCAGC